CCUGCGGCCCGCGGGCCGUAAGCCAGGAGGGGCGGCCCCGCUGGGACCUUCCAGCCCAGAGGAAAAGUCUAAGAUUCCAAGGGAGAGAAGCUCAGUUUCUCCAUCUUCUCAAUCUGGAAAUGACGUGUUCGGAGAGUCUAUGAAAACUGCAUCUAUCACAUGCUUCUGUGGACCAGCGGCUUCUGAAAUAGCACAUGAGCAGCCCAGACAUCAUCUUUUAUGACACAUUUCUACACAAACA